UUGCUCCCUUUGGCAGCACAUACACUAAAACUGGAAUAAGACAGGGAUUAGCAUGACCCCCGCACAAGGAUGACAGUAAAUGCAAUAGCCUGGCUAUCUGUAC
ensembl:snRNA U6 U6 spliceosomal RNA